rnacentral:rRNA from 1 species
AGUGAACGCUGGCGGUAGGCCUAACACAUGCAAGUCGAACGGCAGCACAGAGGAGCUUGCUCCUUGGGUGGCGAGUGGCGGACGGGUGAGGAAUACAUCGGAAUCUACUCUGUCGUGGGGGAUAACGUAGGGAAACUUACGCUAAUACCGCAUACGACCUACGGGUGAAAGCAGGGGAUCUUCGGACCUUGCGCGAUUGAAUGAGCCGAUGUCGGAUUAGCUAGUUGGCGGGGUAAAGGCCCACCAAGGCGACGAUCCGUAGCUGGUCUGAGAGGAUGAUCAGCCACACUGCAACUGAGAAACGGUCCAGACUCCUACGGGAGGCAGCAGUGGGGAAUAUUGGACAAUGGGCGCAAGCCUGAUCCAGCCAUACCGCGUGGGUGAAGAAGGCCUUCGGGUUGUAAAGCCCUUUUGUUGGGAAAGAAAUCCAUCUGGUUAAUACCCGGAUGGGAUGACGGUACCCAAAGAAUAAGCACCGGCUAACUUCGUGCCAGCCGCCGCAGUAA